CAUGGUCAGGGUAUCAAUAAUAAAAUCACCAUCAUGAAAUAGGACAUCCCUAUUUUCAUUGGAAAAAUGUUGGAGGGUAUGCUUUUGAGUCAGAGUAGGAUAAGUGAUGGUGUUGUGCCUGGCAGAGAGCAGAACUCCUACUCAGCCAGCAAAGCCCCCAACAUCCCAAGUGGGCCUUCUUGAAGAUCAGGCCUGAAGGUAGCUGUGCCACAGUGCUGACCCCUGACCCCAAUAUUGGGAAAGCAGUCGAAAGGAAAGCAGUGGAUUGGGCAGAAUGGAAAGUCAGUCCACCUACCUUGAGAUGAACUCUUUCUAUGCAGACCAGCUCUAUCUUCAUAUUUGCAAGAGGCAUUCCAGAAGAUUUAACUAGCAUGGGAGAGAUGUGUUCCUUGACUGCCCCCCCCCAAACACACACUAAAGUGCUUUAGAGGCUGCCGUAUCAUGUGCUGCAGCUGAUUACCUGUGAUGAAAUCUACAGUGCCCACCAAACAAAGUGAAAAAAACAGGCCAGCAAGGUCAGAUUGGUACCCAGGAACAAUCUUCUGCAGAACAGACCUAGAAGAGAAAAUGACCACCACUUGUAAUUUACAGUCAACGGUUAAGACCACUUAGCUGUACCAUCAAUGAUUUACAGUCUGUCCUGGACAAUGACAUUUCCUUUUAACAGGCCUUGGAUGCCAGACCUGCAUUCAUUCAUUCAUAAUUUUUCUUACCUGCCCUUUAUCCAAGGUGGAAAAUACACAGCACAAACCAUUUUAAAAAUCCAAUUAAAAAUCGAAAGAGGGUAAAACUUACCAACAAACAGCCUCUUAACCUAAACCUGCUAUUUACCAUCGACAACAUGACACUCAAGAGAGUUAUGGACCCGGAUGCCAGCUCUGCCCAGAAAGCUGCCCUGACAGCACUAUUACAGGACCUGAUAACGUCCUCCACAGCAUCUAAGGAUGACAUGUAAGCAAUUAUUUGCCAACAAUGCCCUUUGGCCUGUUUUUGUAAAAUGCAGAUAUCCAGAAGGAGGAGGCAACAAAUGUGUCUUCAGAAAUGGAAAGCCAGUGGGGAAACAUUUCAGCCUGCCAGCACACACUCUGUAACUAAUCUUAAGAUGGCCCUCUUUGAACAAAAGAUCUUCAAAGGGAGACAGCAGCAGGGAAGCUGCUGAAUUACAAUACAUCAAGAGGUUCAGCACCAUCAGCUGCAGAUUGAAUCUCCACAAUGGAUUUUGAUCACACUACAUGUGUCAAUUGGCUUACAAUUCCAGGAUGUCUCUAUUGUAAAAUGUUUUUUGUGGUUGUUCUUUUUGUAAAUAGCUACUGUUACUAAGGUAUGGUAAUUAUCACUGUCCUUAUUUUUCUGGCUUUCAUCUCCUUCUGACUUCUCUGCUUACAACCUCCCCCCCUACAUAUAGAUAUGCACACACACCACAGGUACAAUUACCUGCAACUGAGGACAGCACCAUGCAUCUGAUAAAGCGAUCCAGAAAAAUGUAUGAGGUAACCAAUUUGCUCCUCUUUAAGAUGCCACAAGACUCUUCCACUUUUGCUGCAAGAGACAAAGAUAGCUGUCCCUCUGGAAAUAAUGAGGAAAUCUGUUUGUGGGGUGAGGGGGCAGCAUAAGCUUCAAGCUUCUCUCCCCCACACCAUACCGCUGUCUAGGGAAUGGGAUGGCUAAUGAGAAUACAUAGGGUAGAACAGUGUGAAAGUCUCAGAACUUAGGACAGUGGCAGGGAUGUUAUCCAUAAAUUGUUUCUUCAUCCUCACACAUGCAGGUACUUGUUAUUUCACAUCACAGUUGCAUCGGGUGUUUGUAAAUUUUUAGGCUAAGAUCUGAUGCCAGAACCUGAUUCUCCAGUUGCUGUUUUAGUCCUAUGAAGAGCUGUGAAAACAGUCUGUAACAGCCUGAUUACAACCUUCUCAGCAACAUUUUGCUCCAGCUACGCAGAUGAUGGGGCUGCAGCACUGUGGCUAACAAAGAAGUCAUUUAUAAGUGUUGCUGUUUUUAUGACUUGAUGCCUCCCUUGUUAAGGGUUUCGUUAUCUCCUCUGCCCUCUGCUCCUGCUGCUACGCCUCUCCCAACCAGAUGCAAGUUCAUUAGCACUUUCUGCAGCCAAGCUUGUCUUUAAACAUUUGUUUUCUAACAAAAAGUUACAUUGGGGAUUGUACAAUCUGGCAGUUGAGCAGUUUUAAAUGGUGCUGAAUAAUUUACCGAAAAGAGAUCCUACAGAAAUUAGUUCAGUUUUUUAACCCUAAAAUGUACACGGUUUUGCAUGCUGAUAUGUUGCCAGAUCUUCCUGAAUCUAGCUGCUUUAGAUCUGCUCUAAAGUCCAAAAGCUGCAUACAAG